rnacentral:rRNA from 1 species
GAAAGCACUUCGGGUGUUGAGUAGAGUGGCGGACGGGUGAGUAACGCGUGGGAAUCUACCCAGUAGUGGGGGACAACUACCGGAAACGGUAGCUAAUACCGCAUACGCCCUAUGGGGGAAAGGCUUCGGCCGCUAUUGGAUGAGCCCGCGUCAGAUUAGCUAGUUGGUAGGGUAAAGGCCUACCAAGGCAACGAUCUAUAGCUGGUCUGAGAGGACGACCAGCCACACUGGAACUGAGACACGGUCCAGACUCCUACGGGAGGCAGCAGUGGGGAAUUUUGGACAAUGGGCGAAAGCCUGAUCCAGCAAUACCGCGUGCAGGAAGAAGGCCCUCGGGUUGUAAACUGCUUUUGUACGGAACGAAACGGCGCGCUCUAAUAAAGUGCGCUAAUGACGGUACCGUAAGAAUAAGCACCGGCUAACUACGUGCCAGCAGCCGCGGUAAUACGUAGGGUGCGAGCGUUAAUCGGAAUUACUGGGCGUAAAGCGUGCGCAGGCGGUUUUGUAAGACAGGCGUGAAAUCCCCGGGCUCAACCUGGGAAUUGCGCUUGUGGCUGCAAGGCUAGAGUACGGUAGAGGGGGGUAGAAUUCCGCGUGUAGCAGUGAAAUGCGUAGAUAUGCGGAGGAACACCGAUGGCGAAGGCAGCCCCCUGGACCUGUACUGACGCUCAUGCACGAAAGCGUGGGGAGCAAACAGGAUUAGAUACCCUGGUAGAAGGGCG